UCUACAGUGCAUGUGUCUCCAGUUUGUUAGUGAUGCUACUGGAGACCCGGCUCUGUUGGAAU
ensembl:miRNA gmo-mir-139 gmo-mir-139